AGUCAUCAACCCCCUCCGUUUUUGCUACGGAUCGGGUUGGAUGUGGGGGCUUUGCUGCCGUGAGGCGGCUCCCCUGAAAUGCGUCGGUUGGGCCUGUGGGUCGAACUCGACUGGGCGUUGUACCAUCCUCGCUCGACAGAGAUCGUUCCCCUUCCGUGCCCUCCCUCGACUUGCCUCUCAGAGUGGCAGUCAACUUUUGAA
rnacentral:misc_RNA from 1 species